CCCUUAGAUGUCCUGGGCCGCACGCGCGCUACACUGAACGGAUCAGCGCGUUUUCCCUUCCCGAGAGGGACGGGUAACCUGCUGAACCCCGUUCGUGGUAGGGAUCGGGGCUUGCAAUUAUUCCCCGUGAACCAGGAAUGCCCAGUAAGUGCAAGUCAUAAGCUUGCGUUGAUUACGUCCCUGCCCUUUGUACAUACCGCCCGUCGCUACUACCGAUUGAACGUUUUAGUGAGGUACUCGGACUGAGCCUCAGAAGAUUCACGUCUUUUGUGCUGCUCGGGAAGAUUCCCAAACUUGAGCGUUUAGAGGAAGUAAAAGUCGUAACA
rnacentral:rRNA from 1 species